rnacentral:rRNA from 1 species
CGUGCAGGCGGGUUUUUAAGUCAGAUGUGAAAUACCGGGGCUCAACUCCGGGGCUGCAUCUGAGACUGGAAAUCUUGAGUACUGGAGGGGAAAGUGGAAUUCCUAGUGUAGCGGUGAAAUGCGUAGAUAUUAGGAGGAACACCAGUGGCGAAGGCGGCUUUCUGGACAGUAACUGACGCUGAGGCGCGAAAGCGUGGGGAGCAAACA